CCCUUAGACGUUCUGGGCCGCACGCGCGCUACACUGACCAGUGCAACAAGCAUCCGUCCUUGGCCGACAGGCUCGGGCAAUCUUUGAACGCUGGUCGUGAUGGGGAUAGACUUUUGCAAUUUUUGGUCUUCAACGAGGAAUUCCUAGUAAACGCAAGUCAUCAACUUGCAUUGAUUACGUCCCUGCCCUUUGUACACACCGCCCGUCGCACCUACCGAUUGAAUGGUCCGGUGAAUCUUUAGGACUGUGGCUGAGGCCUUGCCUUGUGCGGGUCUGGCCGUGGGAAUUUAGUUAAACCUUACCAUUUAGAGGAAGGUGAANUCGUANCA
rnacentral:rRNA from 1 species